rnacentral:rRNA from 1 species
UACGUAGGCAGCAAGCGUUGUUCGGAGUUACUGGGCGUAAAGGGUGCGUAGGCGGCUUUUUAGGUCUGGUGUGAAAUCUCCCGGCUCAACUGGGAGGGUGCGCCGGAUACUGAGGGGCUAGAGUGUGGGAGAGGAAAGUGGAAUUCCUGGUGUAGCGGUGAAAUGCGUAGAUAUCAGGAGGAACACCGGUGGUGUAAACGGCUUUCUGGACCAUAACUGACGCUGAGGCACGAAAGCGUGGGUAGCAAACAGG